GCUCAGUAAUGUUGCGCUGAUUUGCUCUAUGCGGGAAGAAUAACCACGGUAACCUGUGGCUAAGAGUGUAGAAUAAGGUGCAAUCCUAUUAGUUUGUUGGUAGUGUAAAGGACUACCAAGGCAGUGAUGGGUAACGGGAAAUCAGGGUUUGAUUCCGGAGAGGGAGCCUGAGAGAUGGCUCCCACGUCCAAGGAUGGCAGCAGGCGCGAAAAUUGUCCACUCUUUUGAGAGGAGACAGUUAUGAAACGUGAGUAGAAGGGUCGAGUGUAAAAACCUUGACGUGAAGCAAUUGGAGGGCAAGUUUUGGUGCCAGCAGCCGCGGUAAUUCCAACUCCAAGAGUGUCUAUGGUGGAUGCUGCAGUUAAAGGGUCCGUAGUCGUAGAUGCAAUUAAAAGGUGGUGUUAAAAGCCAUUGAGUUUGUUGAGAGUAGCGGAACGGAUAGGGAGCAUGGUAUAGGUGGGCAAAGAAUGAAAUCUCAAGACCCCACCUGGACCAACGGAGGCGAAAGCGAUGCUCUUAGACGUAUCUGGGGAUCAAGGACGAAGGCUAGAGUAUCGAAAGUGAUUAGACACCGCUGUAGUUCUAGCAGUAAACUAUGCCGACAAUGCUGGGUGUUGCGAGAGCGAUGCUUGGUGUGGGAGAAAUCUUAGUUUUCGGGCUCUGGGGAUAGUACGCUCGCAAGGGUGAAACUUAAAGCGAAAUUGACGGAAGGACACUACCAGGAGUGGAUUGUGCUGCUUAAUUUAACUCAACGCGGGAAAACUUACCAGGGUCAAGUCUAUCGUAGAUUGGAGACAUGAGGUAGACAAGAGUGGUGCAUGGCCGUUGGAAAUUGAUGGGGCGACUUUUAGCUUAAGUGCUGGAACCAGUGAGAUCUUCUAGACAGGUGUUAUUUAGGCACAGGAGGGAGAAGGCAAUAACAGGUCCGUGAUGCCCUUAGAUAUCCUGGGCAGCAAGCGCAAUACAAUAUCUCUUGAGAAGACAAAGCAAUUUGAGAUGAGUAGGAUUAGCUUU
rnacentral:rRNA from 1 species